rnacentral:rRNA from 1 species
GACGGAGGAUGCAAGCGUUUAUUCGGAAUGAUUGGGCGUAAAGCGUCCGCAGGUGGCAGUUCAAGUCUGCUGUCAAAGACCGGGGCUUAACUUCGGAAAGGCAGUGGAAACUGAACAGCUAGAGUAUGGUAGGGGCAGAGGGAAUUCCUGGUGUAGCGGUGAAAUGUGUAGAGAUCAGGAAGAACAUCGGUGGCGAAGGCGCUCUGCUGGACCAUAACUGACACUCAGGGACGAAAGCUAGGGGAGCGAACGGG